rnacentral:rRNA from 1 species
AGAGUUUGAUCAUGGCUCAGAUUGAACGCUGGCGGCAGGCCUAACACAUGCAAGUCGAACGGUAACAGGAAGAAGCUUGCUUCUUUGCUGACGAGUGGCGGACGGGUGAGUAAUGUCUGGGAAACUGCCUGAUGGAGGGGGAUAACUACUGGAAACGGUAGCUAAUACCGCAUAACGUCGCAAGACCAAAGAGGGGGACCUUCGGGCCUCUUGCCAUCGGAUGUGCCCAGAUGGGAUUAGCUAGUAGGUGGGGUAACGGCUCACCUAGGCGACGAUCCCUAGCUGGUCUGAGAGGAUGACCAGCCACACUGGAACUGAGACACGGUCCAGACUCCUACGGGAGGCAGCAGUGGGGAAUAUUGCACAAUGGGCGCAAGCCUGAUGCAGCCAUGCCGCGUGUAUGAAGAAGGCCUUCGGGUUGUAAAGUACUUUCAGCGGGGAGGAAGGGAGUAAAGUUAAUACCUUUGCUCAUUGACGUUACCCGCAGAAGAAGCACCGGCUAACUCCGUGCCAGCAGCCGCGGUAAUACGGAGGGUGCAAGCGUUAAUCGGAAUUACUGGGCGUAAAGCGCACGCAGGCGGUUUGUUAAGUCAGAUGUGAAAUCCCCGGGCUCAACCUGGGAACUGCAUCUGAUACUGGCAAGCUUGAGUCUCGUAGAGGGGGGUAGAAUUCCAGGUGUAGCGGUGAAAUGCGUAGAGAUCUGGAGGAAUACCGGUGGCGAAGGCGGCCCCCUGGACGAAGACUGACGCUCAGGUGCGAAAGCAUGGGGAGCAAACAGGAUUAGAUACCCUGGUAGUCCACGCCGUAAACGAUGUCGACUUGGAGGUUGUGCCCUUGAGGCGUGGCUUCCGGAGCUAACGCGCUAAGUCGACCGCCUGGGGAGUACGGCCGCAAGGUUAAAACUCAAAUGAAUUGACGGGGGCCCGCACAAGCGGUGGAGCAUGUGGUUUAAUUCGAUGCAACGCGAAGAACCUUACCUGGUCUUGACAUCCACGGAAGUUUUCAGAGAUGAGAAUGUGCCUUCGGGAACCGUGAGACAGGUGCUGCAUGGCUGUCGUCAGCUCGUGUUGUGAAAUGUUGGGUUAAGUCCCGCAACGAGCGCAACCCUUAUCCUUUGUUGCCAGCGGUCCGGCCGGGAACUCAAAGGAGACUGCCAGUGAUAAACUGGAGGAAGGUGGGGAUGACGUCAAGUCAUCGUGGCCCUUACGACCAGGGCUACACACGUGCUACAAUGGCGCAUACAAAGAGAAGCGACCUCGCGAGAGCAAGCGGACCUCAUAAAGUGCGUCGUAGUCCGGAUUGGAGUCUGCAACUCGACUCCAUGAAGUCGGAAUCGCUAGUAAUCGUGGAUCAGAAUGCCAUGGUGAAUACGUUCCCGGGCCUUGUACACACCGCCCGUCACACCAUGGGAGUGGGUUGCAAAAGAAGUAGGUAGCUUAACCUUCGGGAGGGCGCUUACCACUUUGUGAUUCAUGACUGGGGUGAAGUCGUAACAAGGUA